UGAGGAAACACCAUACAAUCAAGCAGUAUCAGACACCAGGAGGAUCCUAUGGAGCUACUGGAAAGCUCUGGAAGGCCAGCUGUGAAGAGCCUGGUAGUUUUCCACAGACUGAGAAGUGUAAAACCUAGAGCUCGGAGAUCAAAUGCAUUGUCAAGAUAAUACAUACAGACGCCAUCAGCCUUGAAAGCCAAAUCCUUAAAACCAGUCUCGAUUCCAGCACUUCCUUGGGGCACUGCUGAACUGAUGGAUUCAUCCAUUUCUUUUUCCAAAAAAGGAAUAGUUUCAAGCAUAUAUAGCUCUGGU